UUCGCAUGGACUGACACCCAUAUGUGUGUAUGGACAUCUUCUCUCCUCAUAAGGACAGCUGCCAUAUUAGAUUAAGGCUCACCCUAGUCAAGUGUGAGCCAGGCAGGAAUCCUGGUGCAAGAAGGUGUACUGAUGUGGCCCAGCCUCUGCAUGUCCAGGGCACAGAGCGGUGUGGAGGAGAGGAGAGUAAAUCUGGAGGAGCAGAUGGAAGAAAUCCAAUAUGAAGAAGCUGAUGAGUCCAAACACACAUAGCUGGUCAUGGCCCCCAGAGCCUCUCCUGAGGGACACACCAGACACCCCAGGCGCCCAAGGUGACAAGUGUCAGGACUCCAACAAAGAUUGCUGGCAGAUGUGAAGAACGUACAUUCUGCCACAUUAAUCCCAAGACUGAGGCUCAUUCCAUGAUCACCUCACACACUCACACAUCUUGGCCACACUGUGGGCACAGAGAUGGAAGGGGUUCUGACCUGACGCCUAAGGGAAAUGGAUUCUGAAAACGUGAAAUG